ensembl:lncRNA
CAUAUUUGAGCCCUUUUACCUAAUGUCAUCAAGGCAUGUUUCCAGAAUCCCAUGCCAGGUACCCCAGCACCAGCCCUGCCGUGCCCUUGCAUGAAGUGGCCGCUCCGUUCUUGGCCUGGGGGGAGGGAUGGUCGGGUGUCGAACUGGCUGCUGCUUCCUUACAGAGCAGCCCACAAGACAGGCUUUCCAAUAAAGCAAGAUAGAGACAAGUUAAAGCCGUAACAAGAAGCAAACCCAAGUCUUCCAAGGGAGCCCCUCAGACACGCUCCCCCCCAUGCUCAGCUGCGGGCCUCAAACCACUGUGUUUCUGUCUGGCCGAAGUGUGUGCUGAUGCUGCUCAGCGCCAUGCCACUGCCUCGUGGGAGUGAGCAUGUCCCAGGGAUGGACUGCUGUCUGCACACCACUUUGGUUUAAUUCUCCCAUUUCCUAACUGAUACACAAAAUCAUUUCUUAAAUAACGUCAUUUUUACAUUUAGAAGAGUUAAGAUACUGAUUUUUCUGCUCAGUCCAUUGGCUGUGGAAUCACUGAGUGAUGCAAGGCAGCUGUUCCUGCACUUUCAAAGUGCUAUUGCUGAGAACUGUGUACAUACAAAGGCAUAAAUAAACCUGCACUAGGAAGAAAGAACGUGGCAGAAACAGUAGAGAUCCUGGGAUGUGUGUUCAAGGCAAAGACAAGGACUUUCUGAAGAUAUGACAGAACACCAUGGCUCUCCUCUCCACCAACGAAGGACUCAACAAUCCAAGUCACAUGUUGGUGGAUCACAAAUUCACUCAGUCCAGUAGACAGAGACACAGCUAAAGCUGAACUUCAGCAGCUACUCCAAGAAAAAAGCCUCUGGGGAAUACAUAGUCAGGAAAUAAGAAGAGGUGAAACUUCUCAGCCUUUCAGAAACCAGCAUCUUCUUGGCCUCUGUGCAGAGCAGCUCAGCAAUAUGAGCUCAGUUUGAGAGCCAGAUCCACCCCAAGACGAGCUGUAUAACCAUGCCAGCCUUCUAAAUGAGGAAGAUGUGGGACCAAGCUCUGCAAUGACCUCUCUUCUGCAGAAGCCUUUAAGUUUCUGAAGAUCCACAGCCACAAGUGAAUGCCAGCACUGAGAUGGAGAAACCAGCCUGGCCAAGAGCCCUCCGCCCCAGGCCAUUACAGGAAGCUGUCGGCUUGCAGAAGGACCUGGGAAAUGAUGGUAGUGAUGACAGGAAAGAGAAGAGCUCCUGGUUAUUCUGUGCUCUCUAGUCAUCCACCCCGCCAUGGCCAUGGCCCUGCUCUCAGCUGAGCAAAGCGCUUCUGCAGAGCUGAGUCGCAGCAGAAGCCACAGCACUGUUCAGGAGGAGAGACUGAGCUCUCUGAAACUCCCCGGAAGUGGCACAAAGAUAAUAACUGAGAACUAAACUGAAAUAUCAUCAUUGAUUAAUAAGGUAACCAUUACAAAGAGCUGGGUGUCAGGAGAAGGGUUAAAGCAGCACUGAAGUCAGCUGGUAGGAUGCAGCCCCGGUGAUGGGAAACUCCCAGGAGAGUCAUCUGCCAGAGCCAUUAGAUGUUAUAAAACAUAAGGAAAAGUGCAACUUGGAGCUUUGCUUGCGCUGAUGUUAUUUUGUGGGGAGAAAAUUCAUUCUCUUGAAUAUGUCUGGACUCUCAGGUCCACAGUAAUAAUGUGCUAGAACAAAAAAAAUACUUAAUUUAGGAAAUUUGUUACAUUAUCAAAGACCUGUAAAACCUGAUUUUCUACCUUUAAGCACAGUAGCUGCGUUACUCAAAUUGCUAUGUAGAGCCCUUAUAUAUAUACACCAAAUUAUGAUGCUUAUUUCUUCUCUAUGUGGGCUGGACUCCGGAGAACAUGUUUUGAUCCUUUGUAGUGAAUACUAAAUUGUAAAAGUAACUGUAGAGUUGUGUUGUUCUCCACUUAACAAACUAAUAGUAAGCAACAUAUAUAGGGCAGGGGGAGAAGCUUUUAUAAAGACCAAAAAGAAAACAUAUUUAAAAGUAAGUGCUAAUCUUGUACUUCAGUCUGCUGUAUCUCAGCCUCACGGUCAUGGUGGUGCCUGACGUGCCUUGGACCUAAGCCUUGAAUCUGUC